UUCCAGAUGACGGGUCUCCAAUAGGACGAAAUGCGCAUCAUGGAU
rnacentral:hammerhead_ribozyme from 1 species